rfam:Ovis aries breed Texel chromosome 10, whole genome shotgun sequence.
UCCCUGGUGGUCCAGUGGUGAAGUCUCAGCACUUCCAAUGCAGGAGGCCCGGGUUCAAUCUCUGGUCAGGGAA